GUCGGUCCACAAGUGGUAAAGAAGAAGAAGAACGCCUACAAGCACACCGGAAAAACUACAGAAGUUUAGCUCCGCCCCGACUCGUUGAGAGGAAAUGUGGAACAUGAGCAUUCGAAGCAGGAGAAGAGAGCGCAAACAGGAGCUCAGACGACUGGAGCUAGAGAUGGUGAACAAACCCACUGAAGAUCUGCAUCUGCCAGAUCAGAAGAUAUAAAACUGCCUGAGCUCUUCUCCACUGGAUAAACCGGCAAUCUGGAGGAUUUGCAUGUGAGCUCCAAAUUGUUUUCUCAUUACAGAAUUAUCAUGCCUAUAAUGGAGGAUUUUUAUAUUCUU
ensembl:lncRNA